UGCCUCUGUCUCGCUCUCUCUCUCUCUCUCUCUCUCUCUCUCUCUCUCUCUCUCUCUCUCUCUCUCUCUCUCUCUCUCUCCCUUAUUCUCUCUCUCUCAUGCUUCCUCUUCUUUUCAACUCGGUACGAUACCAUGCAACAUCAUGCAACACCGUGCAGCACCUGGCAAAGCUCCUUAAGGAUGGGCAUGGUGUCGUGAUGGUAAUAGGGUAUGAGUACCUCAAGAGGGGGGGGCACCUUUUUUGGUAAAUGAGGUUUGAGUGGAUUUGGGGACAGGAAGACCUCCCCCUUAAAGAUUAGGUCAUUUGUUGAUGUUGAAUUCUUUAUUGUUCUUGUUAUUGUUCAGUGAAGAUAAAAUCUUCGUGAACCAUU
rnacentral:lncRNA from 1 species